rnacentral:tRNA from 1 species
AUUUAAAUAGUUUAAUUAAAAUUUUAAUUUGUGGAAUUAGAGAUAUAACUAAGUUUAUUUUAAAUC